rnacentral:rRNA from 1 species
GGCCUACCAAGGCGACGAUCAGUAGCUGGUCUGAGAGGAUGAUCAGCCACACUGGGACUGAGGCACGGCCCAGACUCCUACGGGAGGCAGCAGUGGGGAAUAUUGGACAAUGGGCGCAAGCCUGAUCCAGCCAUGCCGCGUGAGUGAUGAAGGCCUUAGGGUUGUAAAGCUCUUUUGUCCGGGACGAUAAUGACGGUACCGGAAGAAUAAGCCCCGGCUAACUUCGUGCCAGCAGCCGCGGUAAUACGAAGGGGGCUAGCGUUGCUCGGAAUCACUGGGCGUAAAGGGCGCGUAGGCGGCCGAUUAAGUCGGGGGUGAAAGCCUGUGGCUCAACCACAGAAUUGCCUUCGAUACUGGUUGGCUUGAGACCGGAAGAGGACAGCGGAACUGCGAGUGUAGAGGUGAAAUUCGUAGAUAUUCGCAAGAACACCAGUGGCGAAGGCGGCUGUCUGGUCCGGUUCUGACGCUGAGGCGCGAAAGCGUGGGGAGCAAAC